UACAGAGGGUGCGAGCGUUAAUCGGAAUUACUGGGCGUAAAGGGUGCGUAGGUGGUUUGAUAAGUCAGAUGUGAAAGCCCCGGGCUCAACCUGGGAACUGCAUUUGAAACUAUUAGGCUAGAGUGUGGUAGAGGGAAGUGGAAUUUCCGGUGUAGCGGUGAAAUGCGUAGAUAUCGGAAGGAACAUCAGUGGCGAAGGCGACUUCCUGGACCAUAACUGACACUGAGGCACGAAAGCGUGGGGAGCAAACAGG
rnacentral:rRNA from 1 species